rnacentral:rRNA from 1 species
UACGGAGGGUGCAGGCGUUGUCCGGAUUUAUUGGGCUUAAAGGGUGCGUAGGCGGCUUCAUAAGUCCGUGGUGAAAGCCAACAGCUCAACUGUUGAACUGCCAUGGAUACUGUGAGGCUUGAGUACAGACGAGGUAGGCGGAAUGGAUCGUGUAGCGGUGAAAUGCAUAGAUACGAUCCAGAACACCGAUUGCGUAGGCAGCUUACUAGGCUGUAACUGACGCUGAGGCACGAAAGCGUGGGGAGCGAACAGG